rnacentral:lncRNA from 1 species
AUGCUCAUCGAGUGCUUCGAAGAAGAGCUACUGGUUGGUCUAGAGUCAGAAAAGAUCCUCUGGAUUCCAGAGAACACAUUUCAGUGUGUGAGAAAGGUGUGGAAACAUUACACAUUUUGCAAUAUAGAAACUGAGGAUCAAGCAAAAAUACAUUUCCUCAGGCCACAGGUAAAAAAGUGGCAGAACUCUGAUUGGAAAGUUUAAAAGCAGGGCUCAAAAUCUCUUUUUUAUUAAAUGAAGACGAGGAGGUUUCAAGGCAGAUGGAGGUGCCUGGCCUGGAAAUUUACCUAUGCCAGGCAGGUAAACAUCUUCCGCAUGUCAAGAUGAGCCACAGCAGUAUGCAGCCACUACUGCUUUGUGACAGCUUCAGGUAUGUUUCUCUGCACCUCUUGGGGAAGACGGAAAACUGCACCAAAUGUGCCAAUAAUUGGUGUCGGGAGUGAAGAUGCCCUAAGGGAAGACACCCCCUCAGUACCUGCAUGGCUUUGAAUCCUGAAGCAACAACUCCUCUCAUAGGAGAGUCUGACCCCAGACUCCAAAGUUUACCCUGCUAUUCUAAAGUGAAGUGCUCCUUUAUCUUGCCAGAACUGGCCAAAACUGGUUCUUCUGGCAUUUGCUGAUCUCUCAAUCCGGAGACAUGAACGAGUUGAGGUGGAUAAAGUAGAAGGAAUAUUGUAAGGGUCUUCUUCAUGGCAGCGUGUCCUCCAGCCUUGUAUGAGGGGGAGAGAGUCUGCUUUUUCCCUGUUUCAAGCCAAGUACAAGAGGCUUCAGAAAGCAUGGCCCAGUGAGGCAAGCUCAGCAGUGCACUCACUGCAGACACAGUGAGUGACGUUUGAACAUAUGAGGACCAGAAGCUUCCUCAGAAAGUUCGCUAGUCCAAAGAUCCCUGCUCAAAAUUGGUAACUAACUUAACAUUGAAGAUGAUCCUUCAUUAAAAAUUUCUCUGAGAAAAACCAGGAAGUUACCAGCCCAGAGAGAGCUGGAGCAAGUCCACUCUUGGCAGCAUCUCCACGUGCACCCAAGCUCCAGAGAGUCCUGGGAAGAGGCAAUAUUGGCUGUUCUAGAGCUUCAGAAGUACAGGAGAGGAAGAAAGCUGAAGCGUCUCUGGAUUCCAAAGAACACAGUAAGUGUUACGUCACAUGGAGUGUGGUUGCUUUUACAUUUGUGU